rnacentral:rRNA from 1 species
UACGUAGGGUGCGAGCGUUGUCCGGAAUUAUUGGGCGUAAAGAGCUCGUAGGCGGUUUGUCGCGUCGGCCGUGAAAACUUGGGGCUUAACUCCAAGCUUGCGGUCGAUACGGGCAGACUUGAGUUCGGCAGGGGAGACUGGAAUUCCUGGUGUAGCGGUGAAAUGCGCAGAUAUCAGGAGGAACACCGGUGGCGAAGGCGGAUCUCUGGGCCUUACCUGACGCUGAGGCGCGAAAGCUAGGGGAGCAAACAGG